rnacentral:tRNA from 1 species
UUAAAAUCCUUCCUACCGC